UGCUCACCAUUUCCCUCCAGAGGAUAACUUCUCUCUCAAAAAAAAAAAAAAAAAAAAAGUCUGAGAUAGGGCAAUUGAAAUACCCUGUGAAGAACAUUUUUCUCUGAAGGAACUGUAAAAUGAAUUCCACCCAUGUGUGUCUGAUUGGGCACCUAGAAAACAAGAAACUUGCAUACUGAGAUGAUGCUGAUAAUCACCAGUGACGUUACUGGGCUGGAUGCAGCAGGAGUUACAAAGCAAGGGGUGUUAGAGGAUCUGAUAGUAGGCAGAGUGGGGAGGAAAGCUCCAAUUCUAAUCACUAAGGGGUUGAAAGAAUGAUGAGUAACUGUGAAGCUGAGGCUGGAGGUACAGCAGAAAUGACUUAUCCUGGAUAACUUUACGUUUGUAAUGUGUGUAGAUUGCACUGCAGCAUUUAGAAAUAACUGACAUGCAG
rnacentral:lncRNA from 1 species